rnacentral:rRNA from 1 species
UACGUAGGGUGCAAGCGUUGUCCGGAAUUAUUGGGCGUAAAGAGCUCGUAGGCGGUCUGUCGCGUCUGCUGUGAAAACUCGGGGCUUAACCCCGGGCCUGCAGUGGGUACGGGCAGACUAGAGUGCGGUAGGGGAGACUGGAAUUCCUGGUGUAGCGAUGAAAUGCGCAGAUAUCAGGAGGAACACCGGUGGCGAAGGCGGGUCUCUGGGCCGAUACUGACGCUGAGGAGCGAAAGCGUGGGGAGCGAACAGG